rnacentral:lncRNA from 1 species
AAUUAGAACACUUAACCAGACAUUUCCUGAAGAAAUUGUAGAUAAGUAAUUUGAUGGGAAAUUGCUUGAGUUGUCUUCAUCAAAACAGAACAAAGGAAAAGCAUGUCAGUUUAAAAUUGAACUGAACAAACUGAAGGUGUAACUUGAGUACACUGAGAUAUUGAGAUAUUGAGAUAUUGAGAUAUUGAGAUAAGGAUUAAUUUCAAUAAGGAGCUCUCCAGAAAAUGUUGCACCUUGCAAUCCAUAAAUUUCAUGAAGUUCAUGUGAACCCACCCCUUGAGCCUGUUCAGAUUCCUUGAUGACACUAGUGCAGUGUUCUGACUACAUAACUUUGCCUGAUGUCAUCUGUAAACCUUCUGAGGAUGUGUUCUCUCCCACUGCCUAUGUCAUAAUGAAGUUAUUAAGCAGCACUGGUUUCAAGGGACACCAGGAAAUGUAUGGCUGCAUUGGAUAUCGUCAUAAGGACAGGCACACAGGCUGGAGGCUCCUAAGGAAAACAUGUUAUGCAGAAGGGAAAUCCACAUGACUGGAUCACUAGAAGGGUUCCCCAUCAUGAAAAAAGGAAAGUACCGGAGCUCACUUCAGACUGGUGAGGUUUUUUUCUAACUGCUCUACAGCAAGCAGUAUAAUACAGCAAGAAAAUUGAUCUAUGUUACAGUUACAUUAGGUUCUAGAGCCCUCAAACAGAUCCCGAGGUUAGAAGUACUCUGUCUACUAGGCUGAUGGAAAAAUUUCAGUUAUUUUUAAUAUUGGUUUGAAGAAUUUCUGUCUCACCAGCCCCUGGCUGGUAAUUGUCCUGAAUGACUCACCUAAAAAGAAAGAAGAUGACAUGCAUUCUUAGCAGUUUUUGUGAAAAUUCAGGUUCUUGAAACCAUCUGAACAUUUACAGAAAUAUUACUCUUCAGGUCAGUCCUGAAGAAAGAUCUCCUUGUAUAGCUGUUAUUCACUGCAUUACACAUACUAAGUGCUGCAUCUGUUUCCCCGUACACAAGCACUGGAAGGAUUUGUGUUACAGGAGGAAAUGUGAGAAAUGUCCCAUCUCCUGAUAACACAGAGGAAAACUGUCAUUCUUUCCCUUCUCAGCAUUUUGAAUAGCAAUACCAGGAUGGACUGAGGGCAAGGUGUGACUCCCUUUCAUGAACUGGUGAAGGAGCAGUAAAAUUCCUCAAAGGUAGAGCUUGAAAUAUCUAUGAGUUGGGCAGGGAGCCAGAAUCUUACUUUUUCUUUCUAUGGUAACCUCACCAAGGGAGGCCCAGCAACAGUGCAAUUUUUUUCCUGGUUCAUUUCUGAACCUAAAAUUCAUAUGAAUUCUUGGAUAACUUCACCAAUUCAGACUGGUUUUAUCUGACAAAACAAAGAUUUAUUUUUAAGUUAAUCAAAAUGGCUUUCAGCACUCCUAAAUGUCAGUAUAAAGAAGGAAAAUCAAUCAUUAAUUCAUACUGUUGUCUUUUUAUGACAGCGUUCACCUUCCUUAGACACAUAUCUCACAGUACCACAGAUUCUGCCAAGGCAAUACAACACAGGUC